GUGAGGAAUAUUGGACAAUGGGCGCAAGCCUGAUCCAGCCAUGCCGCGUGCAGGAAGACGCAUCUAUGGUGUGUAAACUGCUUUUGUACGGGAAGAAACACUCCCUCGUGAGGGAGCUUGACGGUACCGUAAGAAUAAGGAUCGGCUAACUCCGUGCCAGCAGCCGCGGUAAUACGGAGGAUCCAAGCGUUAUCCGGAAUCAUUGGGUUUAAAGGGUCCGUAGGAGGUUUAAUAAGUCAGUGGUGAAAGCCCAUCGCUCAACGAUGGAACGGCCAUUGAUACUGUUAGACUUGAAUUACAAGGAAGUAACUAGAAUAUGUAGUGUAGCGGUGAAAUGCUUAGAUAUUACAUGGAAUACCAAUUGCGAAGGCAGGUUACUACUUGUGGAUUGACGCUGAUGGACGAAAGCGUGGGGAGCGAACAGGAUUAGAUACCCUGGUAGUCC
rnacentral:rRNA from 1 species